ACGCUUGCAGCUCAUUGGAAAUCUAGCUUUUAAAUUUCCUGGCUCUUUCUUACCUAAUAACUGGAAACUUUACAUUUGCCAGUCUUGCCUCUUAUGUUCUCUUCCUACAGUGCCUCCCUCCUCGGGCUGUUUUAGUGGAGCCUCACGUUGAUUUAUGAAUAUAAAAUAUGAAACAAUAACUUAAUGGGACUCCAACAGUCAGCAAAAAGAACGGUGUGUUUAUGAGUAAUCAUUUGACUGGCCACAGCACCAUUUCAUAGUUGACCAGUCUGUUGGUGGUACGGUAAAUACCCGUCUAAACAGUUUAAAGGACUGUUUCCUGGAUGACUGGAAUUAGUAGCCAUUUAACCAGUCAAAGUACUGUACUUAUUAAUCCUGGGUUAUACUCUGAAGAACACAACCCUCCCCUCUCCACCACUUAAAUUGGUCAAGGUACAUUUUACAGGUGACGUUCUCUUGAUAGUACAGAACAGGAACGUAUUUGUCAUCCAAAAAGUUUUAAGACUGAAAGGCGUCGGUAGAACGAAUAAUUACGUAAAGUGAAUACAGUACUAUUGUGCACAUGUAAGAUAAACCACGGUAUUUGUAUCGGUUUGCAAAUACCUGUACAUAGACGAACUUAUUUCAUCAUUCUCUAACACUCACUGUUAUUAAGUCUACAAAUAAGCUUUAGUGUGUCAUCGUUGCCUUGCAAUUGCCAGAUAAACUGUUCCUCAGAUUCACAUGAGGAUGAGUGGCCUUGUCAUGCACAGUCACUCAGCCAGUUGCCUGAUUCUACUUGCAAAAUGUAGAAAAUUAAAGUAAACUAUGCUAUAUUCUCAAGAAUUCAUAUUUAGAAAGUUCAAAUCAUUGACAAAAUAGACUUUCAGCAGAGAGACUCUUUACUGUAAAUUCAUUACAUGAUUAACCAGUCAUAUUACUAUUUCCUGCAUGACUUUUUGUUGUUGAUGUAAUACAUGUGCUUUCCAUUAUUGGCACCUGACUUGAACCAGUCCUACAGAGAAAUUUAAAAGUAUCAGGUUAUCUAUAACGCUUCACACCCUUAGGUUAUCUUAAGACUUCCACACUUGAGGUUAUCUUAAAUGUACAAGUAUAUGUAGGACUGUUCCUCCCCUCAAGAAUGACUAUUGCUGUUUCAGGUCUUAUUUCUGCCAUAUGCUAUAGCUUAUGGAGCCUUGCUAUAUUGCCUCAAUUAAUAUUAUUGACAGUCACACAUCAUUAUUGCUUUGGUGUGAGUGUAUUGUUAUUGUGAUAGCAGGUGAAUGACUAAUUUCUACCAUUAGAUUGAGUGGAUCUGAAGGCAAUCAUUUAGGCUUAAAGAUUUGUCAAGAAUCAGUUUAAAGCUAAGUAACUUUGUGGGUGACAAGCUAAUUGACUAUUUAACAGCUUAUUAAAUAGCUGACCUUUACAAGGAGCUUUUAGCUUAUCAUGAUGGCUGUUAUCUAAGUAGCAUUUGGUAGGAUUGAACUAAUCACUAUUGCAAAAAUCGGACUGAUCCUUUUUUGCCAUAUAAAUAAAUUAUCAUGUUGAAGGCAUUUGUAGUUCAUGUCAGCUACCAUGACUAAAAGGUGCCCCAUAAAUGUUGUUAUUGGUAUUAUAUGAUAACUUUAAAAGAUAGAUGUGUAUAAUUUCAAUUAAUAUUCUACAGGUAAAGACAUGAGCAACACAAAAUAAUCCCAACAAUGUUUUGAACAGACUCACUCACUCUUGGUGUUAAAUCCCUCACUCAUUCUCUCAAGUUGUGUUCUGCCUUGGUGUUACCCUUUCACAGCUAGGCCCUAAGUACCAUCUCUGUACACCACCCAACAUUAUAUAAGUAUUGAAGAAUGAGUGUUAGGAUAUUUGUGGUUGUUAUUGAUUGAUGGAGGUGAGUUGAUGGGAAGGCAAAACAUGAAAGAAUAAUAAAUGCCCUGUUAUUUGAUUGCCUUACACUUGGGAUAUGAUUAUAACUUUGAUCUCUUGUAGGUACAUUAUUAUGCAUUUUUUUAACUUGUAUUGUACAAUGUUAAUAAUAACACCUGCUGUAUUGAUACAGUACAGGUACUUUCAUCUGCAAAUGUUUCACUCCCUUCACUAGUUAUUCCUGAAACUACUGUAGGCUCUCUGUUUGGCUGCCAUGUCAUUCUUUU